rnacentral:rRNA from 1 species
GACGAACGCUGGCGGCGUGCUUAACACAUGCAAGUCGAACGGAAAGGCCCUGCUUUUGUGGGGUGCUCGAGUGGCGAACGGGUGAGUAACACGUGAGUAACCUGCCCUUGACUUUGGGAUAACUUCAGGAAACUGGGGCUAAUACCGGAUAGGAGCUCCUGCUGCAUGGUGGGGGUUGGAAAGUUUCGGCGGUUGGGGAUGGACUCGCGGCUUAUCAGCUUGUUGGUGGGGUAGUUGCUUACCAAGGCUUUGACGGGUAGCCGGCCUGAGAGGGUGAACGGCCACAUGGGGACUGAGAUACGGCCCAGACUCCUACGGGAGGCAGCAGUGGGGAAUAUUGCACAGUGGGCGGAAGCCUGAUGCGGCAACGCCGCGUGCGGGAUGACGGCCUUCGGGUUGUGAACCGCUUUCGCCUGUGACGAAGCGUGAGUGACGGUAAUGAGUAAAGAAGCACCGGCUAACUACGUG